rnacentral:rRNA from 1 species
AUGUCGCCCCCUCGUCGUCGUCGGCACCUAUGUUUUUUCCCAUCUCGAUCCGUGGCGAUCCUCCACGCGGUGAACAGGACACGGCAUCGGCAUCGGCACCGGCAUCGCUGGUGUUGGCUGCGGAAACGUCAUACGGCUGCUGCAUAUACUAGUGGAUCAAAGGCUUCGUCGGCUCAAAUAAACCAUCAUCAAGGACAUCUUACAUCGUAUACAUUCUCUCUUACCAAUACAAGAUGCUGCUUGUGCUGCCUGUGUGUCUCAUGCAUUUCUGCGUUCAUGGAGAUGCUAUUCCAAACUCAUACUCAACACUGUGCGCUUGGGUUGAAUCACAUAGAAUUUGAGGAAAGAAAAAUCUAUCUCAUUGACAAAGUUGACAAAAUUCUUAAAAACCAUCAUGACAAAGGGGUGAAGGUGGAGACACUUAGCCUUAUUCUUACCCCUUGCACCAAUAUCAAAGCCUCCUACCUGGACAGGUGGCUCCGAAGAACCGUUAAGUCUGGGUUUAAAAAUCUUUACUUGGAGAUGCCUUUAUCCAUGAAGAAAAUUUACAAAUUCCCGUGUUCAGUUUUGUCUGAUGAGGGAGCUGCAAGUUCAAUUCAGUUUCUUAACAUCGGCUCUUGCACUUUUCAUCCCACAUCAACACUUGGCUCCUUGCAAGGUUGA